rnacentral:rRNA from 1 species
GAUGAACGCUGGCGGCGUGCUUAACACAUGCAAGUCGAACGGAAAGGCUCCUGCUUGCAGGGGUACUCGAGUGGCGAACGGGUGAGUAACACGUGGGUGAUCUGCCCUGCACUUCGGGAUAAGCCUGGGAAACUGGGUCUAAUACCGGAUAGGACGAUGGUUUGGAUGCCAUUGUGGAAAGUUUUUUCGGUGUGGGAUGAGCUCGCGGCCUAUCAGCUUGUUGGUGGGGUAAUGGCCUACCAAGGCGUCGACGGGUAGCCGGCCUGAGAGGGUGUACGGCCACAUUGGGACUGAGAUACGGCCCAGACUCCUACGGGAGGCAGCAGUGGGGAAUAUUGCACAAUGGGCGCAAGCCCGAUGCAGCGACGCCGCGUGGGGGAUGACGGCCUUCGGGUUGUAAACUCCUUUCGCUAGGGACGAAGCGCAAGUGACGGUACCUGGAGAAGAAGCACCGGCUAACUACGU